rnacentral:rRNA from 1 species
GAUGAACGCUGGCGGCGUGCCUAUCCAUUCCAGUCGAGCGAACAGAUAAGGAGCUUGCUCCUUUUACGUUAGCGGCGGACGGGUGAGUAACACGUGGAUAACCUACCUAUAAGACUGGGAUAACUUCGGGAAACCGGAGCUAAUACCGGAUAACAUAUUUAACCGCAUGGUUCAAUAGUGAAAGGCGGCUUUGCUGUCACUUAUAGGUGGAUCCGCGCCGUAUUAGCUAGUUGGUAAGGUAACGGCUUACCAAGGCAACGAUACGUAGCCGACCUGAGAGGGUGAUCGGCCACACUGGAACUGAGACACGGUCCAGACUCCUACGGGAGGCAGCAGUAGGGAAUCUUCCGCAAUGGGCGAAAGCCUGACGGAGCAACGCCGCGUGAGUGAUGAAGGUCUUCGGAUCGUAAAACUCUGUUAUCAGGGAAGAACAAAUGUGUAAGUAACUGUGCACAUCUUGACGGUACCUGAUCAGAAAGCCACGGCUAACUACGUG